rnacentral:sRNA from 1 species
CCCCGCCCCCAUGAUCCUCGCCCCGUGACCCUCGCCCGGCGACCGGACCCCCACCCCUCCUGCGACCUCUGCCCAGCGACCCCGCCCCCUCUCCUCCCGCGACCCCCGUCCCGCGAGCCCCGUUUCGCGCCGCCUCUGACCAACCUCUCUCGCAGCUCGGCCGCUACUCCGCCCUGUUCCUCGGUGUGGCCUACGGAGCCACGCGCUACAAUUACCUAAAACCUCGGGCAGAAGAGGAGAGGAGGAUAGCAGCAGAGGAGAAGAAGAAGCAGGAUGAACUGAAACGGAUUGCCAGAGAAUUGGCAGAAGAUGACAGCAUAUUAAAGUGAGUGACCCUGCGACCCACUCUUUGGACCAGCAGCGGAUGAAUAAAGCUUCCUGUGUUGUGUGAUA